CCGCCGCUGCUGCUGCUGCUGCCGCCGCCGCUUCCUGCUCGGCGCGGCUCGGCCGCUCGAAGCCGCCGUAGCCGCUGGCUGAGCCGAACAGGUCCCAAGCGCCCUGCGGCGAGCCGGGCUCGGGAGUUAAUACAUUUGGGAACUUCCUGGAAAAGAGUUAAGAGGCACCAUGACAAGCUCCCAAGGACCUCCCUUUGUCCAAGAGGAAAAGCACUGAGUCAACACCGUUCCUGCUAUCAGCUGUACUCGUGAUUUUAUUAAAGAACAAGAUGAAGUUUGUUCUUUGACAGGAACCAUUUCCCACAAAAACUGCUGAUUGAUGUUCCAUUACAUCCCCACUCUCCAUCUCCUUAUUAACUGGUGCAAACCACUUCCUUAUAGCCAGAAAUGGUCUCCUGGGCUGUUUUUAUAAACUCUCACAUUCCCACCUUGUGUGAGAACAGUCGUCUGAAGAACCAGCUCUUAAAAUGAUGACACACCAUCCUCUAGACCUGCUGUUUUUAAAAUGUUAGUGGUGCUUUUGAUGUUCUUUUUUAAAUUGCUUGGAUAGGAAGCGUUUCAUCAUCAUUAUAUAACAUGGAAAUGGCACUCUGGAAAUGACAUUUAACUUUGUCCCAAAUAUAGGCAGGAAAUA